ensembl:misc_RNA Metazoa_SRP Metazoan signal recognition particle RNA
GCCGGGCGUGGUGGUGGGCGCCUGUAGUCCCAGCUACUUGGGAGGCUGAGGCAGGAGAAUCGCUUGAACCCGGGAGGUGGAGUCUACAGUGAGCCAAGACCGCACCACUGCACUCCAGCCUGGUUGACAGAGCGAGACUCUGUCUCCA